AUAGCGUAUAUUAAAGUUGUUGCAGUUAAAAAGCUCGUAGUUGGUUCUGUGUGCCACACUGUCGGUUUACCGCCUGUCGGUGUAACUGACAUGUCGUGGGACGUCCUGCCGGUGGCAAUUACAGAUCUUUAAGGUUUGCUAAUUGCCUUUAAUUCUCAUCGCGGUGCUCUUCGUUGAGUGUCGAGGUGAGCCGGCACGUUUACCUUGAACAAAUUAGAGUGCUCAAGGCAGGCCAAAUUCUGCUUGAAUAUUUGUGCAUGGAAUAAUGGAACAGGACCUUGGUUCUAUUUUGUUGGUUUUCAGAAUCCAAGGUAAUGAUCAAUAUGGACGGUCGGGGGCAUUCGUAUUGCGGCGUUAGAGGUGAAAUUCUUGGAUCGUCGCAAGACGAACUAGAG
rnacentral:rRNA from 1 species